AGUUGUCCUUCAUAAACUCGAUGGAAGCUACCGCGGCGCGGAUUGAAGCCAAUCGCAGCCGAGCCAAUCUGUUGGAGAGCGUGUUACGGGAACUCGACAAAAUGUUGAGGGCUGUCAACCCUACGCCCCGACGACCGUCGUCUAAUUUUUAUAUAUAAUCAUUAUCUUUCGUCUCUUUCAGGAAUAUGAACAAGGUGUGGGUAAAUGAGACCCGACGAAGCACCGCGAAGAGUGACCAUGUUCUUCAUCGAAGAACGCAACAGCGGCACGAGGAGCUACAACGCCUCGCGGGUCAACGGAGUAGCCGCGGUGUUCACCGACGAGAACGGCUUGCCACCAGCGCAAGUGGAUUUCGCGGUUUACGACGGCGCACACUGUCGACGAGGUCGCCACACAUCCGUCUGAUAGCAUUCCCGUUAUUCUUUCCGAACGGCGAAAGAGGAUGGAACCAACACAUGGGACAGACGGGCCCGUGGUGAACGACCAACAGAGAACACGUGUUCAUCAGACAGUUAAUGUGCUCUUCGGUGCCGGGGUGCGCACAAUGCUCACGGAAUUCUUCCAACUGAACAGGAAUGACGCCGACGCCGGCUCUGGGCAUUUUACGAGAUGAUCGCCGUGGAGGGCGUGUAUGCGAGAAGCUUCCGUUCACGACACGUCGCAUCAGUUGAGAUGUCUGUUCGUCACGAUACUCCUAUGUUGUUCGACCAACGACUCGCUGAAACUUUACGACGAGUUUUAAGAUAAUUUAAUGGAAUAUUACUUCAGACGACACGCAUACCGCGACACAACAGAAGCCAUGUGUCUGGCUGCUAAGGAACGUCACCUGGCCGCUUCAAACAAGACGCUCACGGGUUACGGUUUAUCCGAGCCGGAUCGCGCUCUGUUGGUACCGGACACGCCGACCGACAAGGCGACGAAGACGGUAACGGCGACAGACGUCGCUCAAUUGGUCGGUCAACUAAACGAACAACAAUGAACGAUGUACGAUCGCGUAAUGCGGGCGGUCGAAGACACCAGGCGUCCAUUGCCCAAGUUGUUCGACGUUUCCGGAGCCGGAGGUUGCGGCAAGACUUUCCCGUACAACUGUUUGAUUUCGUCCAUCCGGAGCCGCAGAGGGACCGUGAUUUCCGUGGAUUAUACUGGGAUAGCUGCGUCGUUGAUCCGGAGCGGACAGACCGUUAGUGUUCUGCACAUUAAUGCGCGACUAUUGAAGUUUACGUACAUUUUGUUUCACAAUAACCCCAUACAUUUACUUACAGGUUCAAUCUACGUUUUGCGUAAGGGUGGUGUUAGGGGCUUGUUAAAUAGUUGAGGAUCUUGGUCAAAACCAAGAAUCGGAAGCUACUCGACGUCUGCCCAAGUAUCGUCCCAAUCUCCUAUUAAAUGAGUUUUAAUUACCUGAAGAAGACACGGGCAAUCGUGUACCGAGCGUUCAUCGUUUCCGCCAAGCAUCAUUUCCGCCAAAUCUGAUUAAG